rnacentral:pre_miRNA from 1 species
CUACUACUCCCUCCGUCCGAAAAUACUUGUCAUUGAAAUGGAUUUAUCUAGAUGUAUUUUAGUUCUAGACACAUCCAUUUUGAUGACAAGUAAUUCCAGACAGAGGGAGUAUUAU